UGGAGCAGCAAACCAUGUAGACAGAAGAAAAGCUAAAGGACUACAUGUUGAAGUAGUAAUAGUUACUGCAGUACUGCACACACUGCAUCUGAUUUGACUUGUUGUAUGGUAAAUUGCCCGUCCACGCAGGAAGCAUAGCUGAUGAACUCAUGGAAGAAAUAAAGAAGGAAGUUGAAGAAUAAUGCUGCUCCAAGUUAGUUGUGCUUUGCUGUUUAUUUAUAUAAUAGGCUGUUUUCUUGAACUGAAAUUGCAUGUACUAUUACUGAGUUCUCUUUACUCUGGUUGGCAGAGUAUUCAUAUAUGGUUCCAACUUUGUAAAAAUGGGGCAUGCUUGUUUUAUGUUAUACAAGAGAAACCUGAGAAUAUGGUAUUAUUUGUUUGUAUA